GUGACCUCAGAUCAGGUAGGGAUACCCGCUGAACUUAAGCAUAUCAAUAAGCGGAGGAAAAGAAACCAACAGGGAUUGCCCUAGUAACGGCGAGUGAAGCGGCAAAAGCUCAGAUUUGAAAUCUGGCGUCAUUUUGACGUCCGAGUUGUAGUCUGCAGAGGUGUAUUCGAGUGUGGCUUUGGCUUAAGUUCCUUGGAACAGGACGUCAUAGAGGGUGAGAACCCCGUUAACGGCCUUUGUCCUAUGCUCAUGUGAAUCUCCUUCAACGAGUCGAGUUGUUUGGGAAUGCAGCUCUAAAUGGGUGGUAAAUUCCAUCUAAAGCUAAAUACUGGCAAGAGACCGAUAGCGCACAAGUAGAGUGAUCGAAAGAUGAAAAGAACUCUGAACAGAGAGUUAAAUAGUACGUGAAAUUGUUGAAAGGGAAGCACUUCCGACCAGACGCACUUGCAGCCGAUCAACCUUCAUUCUUGAGGGUGCACUCGGUUGUCUGUGGGUCAGCAUCAGUUAUGGUGGUAGGAAAAAGACCGAGGGAAUGUGACUCCUCUCGGGGAGUGUUAUAGCCCUUGGUGCAAUGCUGCUUACUGUGACUGAGGACCGCGCCUCGGCGAGGAUGUUGGCAUAAUGGUCGUAAGUGACCCGUCUUGAAACACGGACCAAGGAGUCUAACAUCUAUGCGAGUGUUUGGGUAUUCAAACCCUU
rnacentral:rRNA from 1 species